UACGAAGGGGGCUAGCGUUGUUCGGAAUCACUGGGCGUAAAGGGCGCGUAGGCGGCUUUAUAAGUCGGGGGUGAAAGCCUGUGGCUCAACCACAGAAUUGCCUUCGAUACUGUAGAGUUUGAGACCGGAAGAGGUAAGUGGAACUGCGAGUGUAGAGGUGAAAUUCGUAGAUAUUCGCAAGAACACCAGUGGCGAAGGCGGCUUACUGGUCCGGUUCUGACGCUGAGGCGCGAAAGCGUGGGGAGCAAACAGG
rnacentral:rRNA from 1 species